GACGAACGCUGGCGGCGUGCUUAACACAUGCAAGUCGAACGGUGAAGCGCCUUCCUUUUGGUGGGUGUGGAUAAGUGGCGAACGGGUGAGUAACACGUGAGUAACCUGCCCCCUUCUUCUGGAUAACCGCAUGAAAGUGUGGCUAAUACGGGAUAUUCUGGGUCUGUCGCAUGGCGGGUCUGGGAAAGAUGCGCCUUUGGGUGUUUUCGGUGGGGGAUGGGCUCGCGGCCUAUCAGCUUGUUGGUGGGGUGAUGGCCUACCAAGGCGGUGACGGGUAGCCCGCCUGAUAGGGUGGACGGUCACACUGGGACUGAGACACGGCCCAAACUCCUACUGGAGGCAGCAGUGGGGAAUAUUGCACCAUGGGGGCAUCCCUGAUGCAGCGACACCGCUUGAGGGAGGGAGGCCUUCGGGUUGUAAACCUCUUUCUGCUGUGAACCAUGCCAGCUCCGUGUGGGUGGGUUGACCGGAGCUGGAUAACAACCUCUCGCAAACUACAUGCCUCGACCCGCGGUAAAGCCAUUGGCUCGCGCAUUAUCUGAAAUUACCGGGCGUUAUCAGAUCGCGCGCGGCCGGACGCGUCUGUGCUGACCUCCUCUGGGUUAACUGGGGACUAGCAGUCGUUUCCGACUGUUAUCCCCCUCGACUGGGAGACUGGAACGCCUUACUUACCCGUGGAAUGCUCGCCAUCAAAAAAAACAAGCUACUUUCCCGCUGCCUCUCUGCUUGCAUGUGUUAGGCCAGCCGCCAGCGCUCGAUCAGAGCCCUGGUCUAACUCCCAUGGCAAUCUACAGACUGGAUACCAGCGGAUAGAUACCGUUUGCCUCCCGGGGGGUCCAGGGCCGACCUGUGUCCCCUUAAAUGACGGUAAAUUGAGCGCUUAGUCCAAUCUUGGUCUAACUGUUCCGAG
rnacentral:rRNA from 1 species